rnacentral:rRNA from 1 species
AUUGAACGCUGGCGGAAUGCUUUACACAUGCGAGUCGAGCGGCAGCACGGGGGCAACCCUGGUGGCGAGCGGCGAACGGGUGAGUAAUACAUCGGAACAUGCCCAGUCGUGGGGGAUAACACUUCGAAAGAAGUGCUAAUACCGCAUACGUCCUGAGGGAGAAAGCGGGGGAUCGCAAGACCUCGCGCGAUUGGAGUGGCCGAUGUCAGAUUAGCUAGUUGGUGGGGUAAAGGCCUACCAAGGCAACGAUCUGUAGCUGGUCUGAGAGGAUGAUCAGCCACACUGGGACUGAGACACGGCCCAGACUCCUACGGGAGGCAGCAGUGGGGAAUUUUGGACAAUGGGGGCAACCCUGAUCCAGCCAUUCCGCGUGAGUGAAGAAGGCCUUCGGGUUGUAAAGCUCUUUCGGCAGGAACGAAACGGCGAGCUCUAACAUAGCUUGCUAAUGACGGUACCUGAAGAAGAAGCACCGGCUAACUACGUG